AACCACUUUNNGNNGGGGAUUANGUGGCGAACGNGGNNNGUAACACGUGGGCAAUCUGCCCUGCACUCUGGGACAAGCCCUGGAAACGGGGUCUAAUACCGGAUACUGAUCCUUGCAGGCAUCUGCGAGGUUCGAAAGCUCCGGCGGUGCAGGAUGAGCCCGCGGCCUAUCAGCUAGUUGGUGAGGUAACGGCUCACCAAGGCGACGACGGGUAGCNNCGCCUUAAAGNNNGGCCGACCCGCCCCCCUUGGAAUGGAACCACGNGCCCAAUUUCUUACGGGAGGCNNAGCAGUGGGGAAAUUUGCCCAAUGGGGGAAAGNNCCUUAUGAAGCGACCCCGGGNUAAGGGAUGAACGCCUUUGGGUUUUUAACCUUUUUUNAGCAGGAAAGAAGGAAAAGUGACCGUACCUGCAGAAGAAGCCCCGGUUAAUUACGUGCCAGCAGCCGCGGUAAUUCGUAGGGGGCAAGCGUUUUCCGGAAUUAUUGGGGGUAAAGAGCUCGUAGGCGGCUUGUCACGUCGGUUGUGAAAGCCCGGGGCUUAACCCCGGGUUUGCAGUCGAUACGGGCAGGCUAGAGUUCGGUAGGGGAGAUCGGAAUUCCUGGUGUAGCGGUGAAAUGCGCAGAUAUCAGGAGGAACACCGGUGGCGAAGGCGGAUCUUUGGGCCGAUACUGACGCUGAGGAGCGAAAGCGUGGGGAGCGAACAGGAUUAGAUACCCUGGUAGUCCACGCCGUAAACGGUGGGCACUAGGUGUGGGCAACAUUCCACGUUGUCCGUGCCGCAGCUAACGCAUUAAGUGCCCCGCCUGGGGAGUACGGCCGCAAGGCUAAAACUCAAAGGAAUUGACGGGGGCCCGCACAAGCGGCGGAGCAUGUGGCUUAAUUCGACGCAACGCGAAGAACCUUACCAAGGCUUGACAUACCCCGGAAAACCCGGGAGACAGGGUCCCCCUUGUGGUCGGUGUACAGGUGGUGCAUGGCUGUUGUCAGCUCGUGUCGUGAGAUGUUGGGUUAAGUCCCGCAACGAGCGCAACCCUUGUCCCGUGUUGCCAGCAGGCCCUUNGUGGUGCUGGGGACUCACGGGAGACCGCCGGGGUCAAUUCGGAGGAAGGUGGGGACGACGUCAAGUCAUCAUGCCCCUUAUGUUUUGGGCUGCACACGUGCUACAAUGGCCGGUACAAUGAGCUGCGAUACCGCGAGGUGGAGCGAAUUUCAAAAAGCCGGUUUCAGUUCGGAUUGGGGUCUGCAACUCGACCCCAUGAAGUUGGAGUCGCUUGUUAUCGCAGAUCAGCAUUGGUGCGGUGAAUACGUUCCCGGGCCUUGUACUCACCGCCCAUCAAGUCGNUAAAA
rnacentral:rRNA from 1 species